rnacentral:rRNA from 1 species
AUUGAACGCUGGCGGCAGGCCUAACACAUGCAAGUCGAACGAGUGGCGGAGGGGUGAGUAAUGUCUGGGAAACUGCCUGAUGGAGGGGGAUAACGAGGGGAAACGGUAGCUAAUACCGCAUACCAUGGGAUGGGCCCAGAUGGGUUUAGCUAGUAGGGGGGGUAAAGGCUCACCUAGGCGACGAUCCCGAGCUGGUCUGAGAGGAUGACCAGCCACAAUGGAACUGAGACACGGUCCAGACUCCUACGGGAGGCAGCAGUGGGGAAUCUUGCACAAUGGGCGCAAGUCUGAUACAGCCAUGCCGCGUGUAUGAAGAAGGCCUUCGGGUUUUAAAGUACUGUCAGCGGGGAGGCGUUACCCAAAGAAGAAGCACCGGCUAACUACGUGCCAGCAGCCGCGGUAAUUC